rnacentral:rRNA from 1 species
AUGUUCUACUACGGCCUAGAUUUCCAUGAUCUGGCCCCGAAUUUUAUUCUCAACAUCUCGGCGUUUAUCGUCGUGUGCGAGGCCUUCCUCUGCAUCCAGCCCCACUUCGGCUUGUGGCUCAAGACCUUUAGUGUCAAGCCGAAGGUUGUGAAGGGCAGCCAAGCGAAGUGCGGAGGCGCCAUGGUGGGCAGGAUGUCCCACGUUACGUCGCUGGAGGGCACCUUUGUGGAAACCAUCAAGGGGUGGCAAUCGGGAUGGUUCUACAUCACCGAGCCGCGUGAUCCCGAAUGGGCAGCGGCCCCCGAAUUCAGAUCCGGCAUCCCCACACAGCUCACCUCCUGGAAAGAGAGCGGCCGGAUUUGGGGCGAUUCGGAGGAGCUGACCGGACUCCAAGCCUGCGUCCAAAAGCUGGUGGACAAGAAGCUCAAGCUUGUCAACGUAGUCCAGGUCAUGCUCAUUCGCCAGAUUCUCCCGUGCCAACGACGGGGCUUCAAUAUGUGGGAGUUCGAUCCGGCGCAGCACUAG